rnacentral:rRNA from 1 species
ACUCCUACGGGAGGCAGCAGUGGGGAAUAUUGCACAAUGGGCGCAAGCCUGAUGCAGCCAUGCCGCGUGUAUGAAGAAGGCCUUCGGGUUGUAAAGUACUUUCAGCAGUGAGGAAGGUGGGUAUGUUAAUAGCAUAUUCAUUUGACGUUAGCUGCAGAAGAAGCACCGGCUAACUCCGUGCCAGCAGCCGCGGUAAUACGGAGGGUGCGAGCGUUAAUCGGAAUUACUGGGCGUAAAGCGCAUGCAGGUGGUUUGUUAAGUCAGAUGUGAAAGCCCGGGGCUCAACCUCGGAAUUGCAUUUGAAACUGGCAAACUAGAGUACUGUAGAGGGGGGUAGAAUUUCAGGUGUAGCGGUGAAAUGCGUAGAGAUCUGAAGGAAUACCGGUGCGAAGGCGGCCCCCUGGACAGAUACUGACACUCAGAUGCGAAAGCGUGGGGAGCAAACAGGAUUAUAUACCCUGGUAGGCUCU